rnacentral:rRNA from 1 species
AUGAACGCUGGCGGCGUGCCUAAUACAUGCAAGUCGAGCGAACAGACGAGGAGCUUGCUCCUCUGACGUUAGCGGCGGACGGGUGAGUAACACGUGGAUAACCUACCUAUAAGACUGGGAUAACUUCGGGAAACCGGAGCUAAUACCGGAUAAUAUAUUGAACCGCAUGGUUCAAUAGUGAAAGACGGUUUUGCUGUCACUUAUAGAUGGAUCCGCGCCGCAUUAGCUAGUUGGUAAGGUAACGGCUUACCAAGGCAACGGUGCGUAGCCGACCUGAGAGGGUGAUCGGCCACACUGGAACUGAGACACGGUCCAGACUCCUACGGGAGGCAGCAGUAGGGAAUCUUCCGCAAUGGGCGAAAGCCUGACGGAGCAACGCCGCGUGAGCGAUGAAGGUCUUCGGAUCGUAAAACUCUGUUAUUAGGGAAGAACAAAUGUGUAAGUAACUAUGCACGUCUUGACGGUACCUAAUCAGAAAGCCACGGCUAACUACGUG